rnacentral:rRNA from 1 species
UGGGGAAUUUUGGACAAUGGGCGCAAGCCUGAUCCAGCCAUGCCGCGUGCGGGAAGAAGGCCUUCGGGUUGUAAACCGCUUUUGUCAGGGAAGAAAUCUUCUGAGUUAAUACCUCGGGAGGAUGACGGUACCUGAAGAAUAAGCACCGGCUAACUACGUGCCAGCAGCCGCGGUAAUACGUAGGGUGCAAGCGUUAAUCGGAAUUACUGGGCGUAAAGCGUGCGCAGGCGGUUUUGUAAGACAGAGGUGAAAUCCCCGGGCUCAACCUGGGAACUGCCUUUGUGACUGCAAGGCUUGAGUGCGGCAGAGGGGGAUGGAAUUCCGCGUGUAGCAGUGAAAUGCGUAGAUAUGCGGAGGAACACCGAUGGCGAAGGCAAUCCCCUGGGCCUGCACUGACGCUCAUGCACGAAAGCGUGGGGAGCAAACAGGAUUAGAUACCCUGGUAGUCCACGCCCUAAACGAUGUCAACUGGUUGUUGGGAAGGUUCCUUCUCAGUAACGUAGCUAACGCGUGAAGUUGACCGCCUGGGGAGUACGGCCGCAAGGUUGAAACUCAAAUGAAUUGACGGGGUCAUAGCUGUUUUCCUG